UGGGGGAGAGGCAGACAUUGCUGCCCACAGACCUGCCUCUGACUCAACUGUGUCCACCCUCCCUGGUCCCUACCCCCAAGUCACAGGUGACUCAGCAGUGACCCUGUGUGCCAGGCCAGAUCCAAACUGAGAGGGAAGGUGUCGUUUUUACACUGCUAAUGACGAGAGUGGCUCUUUUUAGCUAAGCGAGUACAGACGGGGCCUGGGAGGGGGCAGAGAUGUUCCCCAGGCCCUGCCUGUGGUUCCUGCCUGGGCCUUGGCUGCUGCUGUGUGAGAGCUGCAUGUGAGCCUGUGACCGUGAGCUGGGGUGAGCUGGGCCGCACCUACCCUGGGGCCCCAGGGAGCAGGACGCUCCGGGGCCCAGCACGUUGCCCUGGGCCUGUGGCCGGAGUCGGAGUCCUCUCUCCUCCUCCUGGCUUUUGGAAAGGCUUGGCUGUGUUGGGGAGUCUCUCUUAGCCCUUUCAGGAAUUUCUGUUCAGGCUUCCUCCUCCUCAUCAGCUAUUUUACCCAUCUCAGAACGUAUCUCUCAGGGCGUCUGGUUAUAGGGAAACAAGUGGAGCAGGGACGUGGCUUUAAUUGGAGCACUCGGCUGGGCUGCCUGGGGAGACUCUUCCGUGCGUUCUUCCUCUGGAUAGAACCACCACCUCCUGGGCGUCACUGACAAGCUCCAUCUUAACCUCCAAAGCCACAGAACUAGGGGCUCAGAGCCAGAGCUGGCAGCCGCCAGCCGAAAUGAUGCCAUUGCCUGAGCUGACAGCCAAGCCCUUCUGUGGGUCACCUUUCUCCUCACCUUGCUCUUCCCUUUUGAAAGGCCCGUGUGUUUUCUUUCCUUACCCUGUGCUUGCUCAUGUCUACUCCGGUUUUCUCUACCACAUCCUUAGAGCCAUCACCUGGCACGCAGGCGCCUUACAUUCUACGGUAGAACGUGGGGUACUGUGUGUGCACAUAGACACACUUACGUGGAAUUACAGUUGUGGGUUUAUCCAAGAUGAGGAAGAUUUCACUUGCUGUUUAAUAGACUUGGGGCCAUGUGCCUCCCCACACAUGGGCAAGGACAGGUGGAAUGUCGGGACCACACUGUGCGGCUUCUCGGCACAAAGUGGAGGGAGGCUGUGGUCGCUGCCGGCCUAGGUGUCCCAGGUGCCCCGCCUUUCUCUGGGACACAGUUGGGGGCUGGCUUCUGAGGGAUUCCUUUCUCCCCUCUUUGUGUGGCCCCAGCCAGGGCGGUGGGCAGUCCUGGUGUAGAGCACAAGCCUCUCCACCCUAGAGAAAUGCCUCUGUACCACGGCUACCAUGUGGAACCUUAACUUGCAGAAGGCUUGUUAACAAUUGUUUUGAGAGAGAUGGCUGGUCAUGCCACAGCUGCUGGGGACUCCGCCUACUCCAGCCCUCUUGGGACACACUGUGGGAUUUGUGGCCCUUCCCCAGAGGAAUUGUGGAGACUGUCCCAUGGAACAAACCCUCAGGCACCAGCACAGGGCUCUGGGUGACUCAGUAAAACUAACGUUUGUCUCUGACAAGAUCAGCUGUAGGCUCACCGGCCAGAGAAGACCACUGUGAGCAUUUUGCCGUAUAUCCUGCCCUGCCAUUUGUUCACUUUUUAAACUAAAAUAGGAACAUCCGACACACACCGUUUGCAUCGUCUUCUCCCUUGAUAUUUUAAGCAUUUUCCCAUGUCAUGAGUUUCUCAGAAACAUGUUUUUAACAAUUGUACUAUUUAGUCAUUGUCCAUUUACUAUAAUUUAUCUGACCAUUUCCCUACUGUAAAAUACUUGACGGUUUCUGAUUUUUCCACUAUUUAAAUAAUGCUGUGAUGAAUAUCUUUAAAAUCUUCUGAUUUCUUACUUUUUUUCCCCUUAGAUGCCUGGAAGUGGUAUUUUGAGGUGAAAGAGUUUGUUCAUUUUGAAGAUAUUUCUGUCUCUCUCUCGACCUGAUGUGUAGACGCUCAGUUCCAGUAGCAGAACCACCUUAGUUGUGUCUUACAGAUUCUGAACAAAUCGGUUUCUGAUAAGCC
rnacentral:lncRNA from 1 species